rnacentral:rRNA from 1 species
CAGCCGCCGCGGUAAUACCGGCGGCCCGAGUGGCGGCCACUCUUAUUGGGCUUAAAGCGUCCGUAGCCGGGUUGGUUAGUCUCCCGGGAAAUCUGGCCGCUUAACGGUCAGAAUUCCGGGAGAUACUGCCAGCCUAGGGACCGGGAGAGGCCGAGGGUAUUCCCGGAGUAGGGGUGAAAUCCUAUAAUCCCGGGACGACCACCUGUGGCGAAGGCGCUCGGCUGGAACGGGUCCGACGGUGAGGGACGAAGGCCAGGGGAGCAAACCGGAUUAGAUACCCGGGUAGUCCUGGCUGUAAACGAUGCGGACUUUGUGUCGGACAAGCUAUGAGCUUGUCCGGUGCCGGAGGGAAACCGUUAAGUCCGCCGCCUGGGGAGUACGGCCGCAAGGCUGAAACUUAAAGGAAUUGGCGGG